rnacentral:misc_RNA from 1 species
GGCAUUGGGCUUGGCAUGUGUGCGGAUAAAUAGUGCAGCUGUGCAGCGAAGUGUUGGUGUGCAGCAAAGCGUUCAAGAUGCUUGACUGUGGGCAAGGCAGCUAGGAUGUGCAAAGGCAAACACAGGCAUAUGUCCACCUUUGGGGUGUAUGUGUGAGCAGUGGCAUCGGCAAGGAAAGACAGUGUAUUGGCUUGACAAGGCAAGGAUGCAGGACUUGACGAUGGCAAGACAAAGUUGAUUCAAGUGUCAGCAAGAGUUGGCAGAAUUGAAGGAAUAAAACCAAGUGUUGGAAGCAGGCUAAAUAUUCUGAAGUGUUGGGCAGAUGCAAUUUCGGCUAAGGCAAUUAGAUAGCAUGUGCUAGGCAAAUGGGUUGAUGUAUUUGAAUUCGGAAAUGUAUACAUGCUGUUAGGAUUUUAAAAAAUAAUGUCAAGUGCUCC